CCCCCCUCUCCUCUCCCCUCCCCCCUCUGUCCUCUUCAUAAUUUUAUCACUGACUUCUCACCAGUGAUGUCAUCAUAACCAGUAACCUUUUCCUCUCUUGUCCCAGCCCAGCCUGACCCUGACAUAUAGCAUCAGGCCUGUUGAGUUGACUUGGGUAACAGACCUCUAGCUUCUACAUCACAUCCCCCCUUCUCCUGCUCUAACAUGAGACCUCAUCAGAACUCAUUCUGGGUGCUGGUACUGUUUAUAUUUAGGUGCUGGAACAUUAAUCCAAUAUUCUAUAAGAGGUGAACUCAAGCAGUAGAAAGUUAGAGGUGAUAUUAUAGGACACUAUGUGAAACGUUGCUGCUCUGUCAGCAGUUUCCUGUGGAGUUUUUUUUUAACAUAUCAGUUUGCUGUAGUGUGUUCAACCACUGAUCCUAGAUAAGCUGCUAAGAAGUUUAUCUCACAUCAAAGACCUACUGAACUAAUGAGAGAGAAGUCAUAUAGCCGAGCAGUAUGUUCCACUCUUCAGUCCAAACUUUAUGACAGUGACUUGUAUAUGUCAGUGGAGCCCCAGUUAGAGACAGACAUGAUAUCUGCAGGGAUAUUGAUGAUCCUCUUCUGGAACACAGAUCUCCAGGCUCAAAGCGUCAGUCCACCAGGAAGAGAGGGAGAGGAGCAGAGAGAGAGGAAGGAGAGAGACGAGGGGACAGAGGACGGGAGGAGAGAUAGAGUGGAGGGGAGGAGAGAGAAGGAGAUGUCAACAAGAUGGGGCUGACAGACUAACAUGCAGUCAACUGAAUAACUUUUCAUUACCGAC
rnacentral:lncRNA from 1 species